GAUGAACGCUGGCGGUGUGCCUAAUACAUGCAAGUCGAGCGAACAGACGAGGAGCUUGCUCCUCUGACGUUAGCGGCGGACGGGUGAGUAACACGUGGAUAACCUACCUAUAAGACUGGGAUAACUUCGGGAAACCGGAGCUAAUACCGGAUAAUAUUUUGAACCGCAUGGUUCAACAGUGAAAGACGGUCUUGCUGUCACUUAUAGAUGGAUCCGCGUUGCAUUAGUUAGUUGGUAAGGUAACGGCUUACCAAGGCAACGAUGCAUAGCCGACCUGAGAGGGUGAUCGGCCACACUGGAACUGAGACACGGUCCAGACUCCUACGGGAGGCAGCAGUAGGGAAUCUUCCGCAAAGGGCGAAAGCCUGACGGAGCAACGCCGCGUGAGUGAAGAAGGUCUUCGGAUCGUAAAACUCUGUUAUUAGGGAAGAACAAAUGUGUAAGUAACUAUGCACGUCUUGACGGUACCUAAUCAGAAAGCCACGGCUAACUACGUG
rnacentral:rRNA from 1 species